rnacentral:tRNA from 1 species
GGGGCCGUAGCUCAGUUGGGAGAGCGCUACGAUGGCAUUGUAGAGGUCGUCGGUUCGAUUCCGUCCGGCUCCACCA